rnacentral:rRNA from 1 species
UGGGGUGCUCGAGUGGCGAACGGGUGAGUAACACGUGAGUAACCUGCCCUUGACUUUGGGAUAACUUCAGGAAACUGGGGCUAAUACCGGAUAGGAGCUCCUGCUGCAUGGUGGGGGUUGGAAAGUUUCGGCGGUUGGGGAUGGACUCGCGGCUUAUCAGCUUGUUGGUGGGGUAGUGGCUUACCAAGGCUUUGACGGGUAGCCGGCCUGAGAGGGUGACCGGCCACAUUGGGGCUGAGAUACGGCCCAG